rnacentral:lncRNA from 1 species
CUAAGUAACAAAGAAAUAACUAAAUAAAGAUGACUCUAAGAAAUACUCCACGAACAAAAACGGAGCUCACCAAUAGCACUGGAAGAGAAGGAAGUCCUAACUCGUAGCCUGCUCGCCUGCAAAUUCGGUUCCUACGUUGUACCGCAGACCAACGUAGGUUCCCAAAAGAGAACGUCAGUACCAUCCAUUGUACUCAGUGAGUCUCAACAACAGGGGCGAAACUUUAAUAACAUAUACAUUAUGAGCAAAGGUUCUAAAUGCAUGUAAAACAUAAAGCUUAUAAGAAUAAUUCUAAAUAAUUGCAUAAUAGCAGUUUUUGAAUAUUCUAAAAGAAAUUCUUUUCUUUUUCUUUCUUAAAAAAAUAUACUUCACUUUAUACUUUGGAAGUAACAACUAUCCUGACUUAAUUCUGUCUCAAUCACCGUGUAAUCGGCACUAUUUCGAUCCCAACCUGAUCGAAUAGGCCCAAUCCACGAGGUGCCACUCGCUUCAUGGUUCUCAGCACUCAUGUCUCAUACCUUAGCAUGGCUAAGUAAAUUCUCAGCAACGAGACUCUCGGCUCGUGUGCUCCCUACUUUGGCACAAGUAGUUUUAGGAAGUCAACGCCUUGGUCAGGACCCUAGGCCUGGACGAUGACCCCUUCUCAAAAUAAAGGAUACUCCCAAAAAUCUUUUCUUUUUAAAACUUCUUCCUGUGACUUUUCAAGUCUAAAUCUUUUAUACAUACUCAUAGAGUUAUCCUUAAAUGUAAGCCAUUACAUAUAAAUUACAAUAGAAGUAUUUGAAGUGUACGAAAUAUUGAAAACCUUUAAAAGAUAUCAAAAAUUGUUAAAUUUAUUAAGAAGCCGACAUGUAUGCAUCAAUAUUCAACACGACUUAAAGUUCCCUACCAUCGCACUUCUUGUCACAGUGCUAUUUUGAGUUAUUUGCCAUAUGCAAAAUCUGACUUGAAAUCCAAUUUCUAUGACCAAAGUAAUGUUACAGGUUUUAUAAAAUGAUCUUGAGAAUAAUAAAAAGAAUAACACACUUAUGAAAUAUUCAACUUGCCUUAGUAUACAGAUAAAGUCAUUACUAAUGUCCUAGUCCAAUUAAUACCACAAGCGUUAUUAAUAUUCAUCAAACACCUUGUGUGCGUGCUUUUGUGAGUUAAACCACCUUAAUAAAGGGUUAUAUCAACUCACCUCAAAACUUCUCGAGCAAAUACGUAGACUCCAGUCCAAUUUAUACCCGUCAAACAAUUGAUUCUACAACAACCAGUGCAUCUUAAAUAAAUUUUAAAGUUUCACACCUAAACAUGUAAUUUAUUGUUGAUAUAGAGGAAGAAGGGGAUUAGCUAUUCAAUUCUUACCUAUUACCCACUGUAGGAUAAUUGACAAUAGGAAUUCAAGAAUUAGUGAUUGGUAAGAACCCUAGAAUUUUCCGUUGCUUGCGUGAGUACUUUCGCUGGGACGUGCGAAGUCAGAAAAGUCUGCUUGGGGUUUCUUUUUGUUGGAAGCUUUAAGGCUUUAAGCCUGCUUAGCUUUUCAACAGAUUUUG